ensembl:lncRNA
AUCAGCCCAUAGAAAACAGAAUUAUGAUGAUCUGCCGUGUCUCCUGCACCAUGAGAAUUCAGUCAGCGCCUAUCUGUGAUCACGUUUGCACUUGGAAUUGUCUUCCUUUGGUCUACAAAUCUAUGUUAGAUGUGAAAAUUGUUGACUGGACUACUUCUACUGGCAGAGCUGACUAUUAACCUACCACUGUUUUCUUCGUGUUUUGCCAAAAGGCUAAGGAGAGAAAUGGCUUUGGUUACUGGCACCUUCUCACAAUGAAUUCUGAUGAUUUUCAGUAUACUGAGAGCAGUGGCAAUUUUACUCUCUAAAACUAAGAAGGUCCCAGCUCCUUCUGCAACAGGUGCCAUCUGAAGACCUUCACAUGCAUAGUAUUCUAGUGCAUCUCUGGAUCAUUUCAUAGAAAGCAGAUCCAGUACUGCAAAGCAAAGGAGGCCACAAGGAGAGAAAAUAGGAAAUGUACUCCUUUGAGGAUUGAAAGAAGAUAAACAAUCGUGUCAGAGCUUUGAAUUCUGUCCUGAGCAGAUGAGUAAAAGCAGUUUGGACCUCUUAUGAGUCAGGAGGAGGAAACUAAUGUAAACAAGAGCAGCAUUCUCAAGAAGCCCCUGCUAUGUUAUCAAGAAGUUCAUCAGAGACUGUAGGUUCGAAUAUUAAGUGAAGAAAAUUGAAAUUACCUCUGUCCUCGAAGAGCUGAUUUGCCAUAUCUCCCUUUUAUCUUAAUCAAACUUGUUAAUUUGUCUAUUGGAAAACUUUCCCUUUUUCAGCCUAAUUUGAAUUUCACAUCAUUUUCUUCUGAUGUUCUGCCCUGCCCCCCACCGUGCUGUCUUACAUUACUUAUUGUUCAUUCUUGGGAUAGAAAGACCGCAGGCAACAUUUUAGGUCUAAAUCAGAAUUCGCAGAAUGUGAGACUACUGAGGAAGCCUGUUUAAAUCUGUGUGGCUCCACCUGCCUAGACAGAAGAGGAAUGUCUCAGUGACAAGAGCACAGAACAAACACUUGGAACACCUGGGUUUGAGAUACUUCUUGCAACACUGAUGAUUUGUGCAAUUUUGGGCAAAUGCCUUGCAGCCACAUCAGAAAAGCACACAGUCAUCUGAAGCAUUUUUCAGUUAUCAACACAGGGACAGUGUGAUUACAUAGGUUUGCAGUGGCAAAGUCCUUUUAUGUUAUUCCACAAAUGAAAGCACCAUCACCUUACCUUCUUUAGGCCGUAUUUAGUGACAAGGAAAAGAAAAUAGCUGGUGCACAGACAGCAUUCAUGCUCGGGUGCACAGAGGAUGGGCUGGUCCCAGUGGCUUGGCUGGUUGGGCAUCUUCCUCUGCCUGCUCCACCUGUACAGCCUCUGUGGGCCCUGCAGAGCCGCUUCUGAAUUUUUCUCCCUAGCUGUCCAUAAGGCAGCUCAGCGCUGUUUCACUCAAGUGCCUUUGUUGCUCAUGUUCUGAACCCUUGUACCUCAGGUCCCCAUCUGUGCAGUGAGGUUAACAGGAGCACUGUAGCAGCGCCAGAUGUGAAUAACUGAGACUGUGAAGUGCUCAGGCAGAACAGAGCUGACUGUUCUCUUGUAUCAUCACAGUGUAUGAGGGUCUUAUCGAAUGUACUUGAAAAUAAAGCACAUAAG